CCAACAUCUCCUCGAAAGCAAAAAAUAAUUCAAGGAGCAAUGCUGUGACGAUUCGCUCUUUUUAUACACAAGGGCUAUGUAUAUAUAUGAUCUUUGUUUAGCUCCAGCUCGGUUUUAGAUUGUAGCGGAAGUUGGUGGACAAGUCCUAUUUAAGCCGAAUCAGGUUCUUGGCAGGUGCUCUAAUUCCAGUCUCUUCAUCGUCUGUGAUCGCAAUCCUAGUGGGAAAAGCGAGAUCGGCAAUGGUCACCUCUAGUCGUCCAGAUCCUCCCUCCCUUUCAACUAUAAAAGCCACCACAAGAAGAUUAAUCUUAUAUCAAUGGAACGAAGAAUGGUCCAUCUGUACUUCCGGCUGUCUCACUAGAGAAUUCUUCCCCUCUAUCCAAUCCGCUCUUACGCUGAACAAACUCAACCCCUCUUUUGAAGUUAUGCAAGUGUAACCUGUUAACCCCCCACAGCUUCUUCAUCAGUUUCGGCUUCUUCUACGUUCAGCAGCAUCGAAGAAGGUUGAACUGGAAU